AACAGCAGCGGCGCGGCGCGGCGGGCGGAGCGCCGGGCGGCGGUGACGGCCUGAAGGAGGAAGAAGAGGAGGAGGAGGACGACGACGAUGAAGACGAGGAGGAGAACGGCGUUGACGCGGCUCGGGCCGAGUUGCCUCCUCCAAAGCGGACGAGGGUGCAGCCGCCGUGAGGGCGGCGCCGCGCCGGAUAAAGCGGUGACGGCGGAGAGCGGCGUCCGUUGCCGCCGCUGUAAGGCGCCGUAACGGCACUGCCCUCCGCGCGGCCACGAACAGCGCGGGUAGGCGGAUAAACGUGGAACCCUUCGGCGCGGCCCUGUGCGGCCGGGCUGCAGGCAGAGCAGCGCGCUGCGAUAAGCGCCUCGCGUACCGCUGCUGUCCGACGCUGCCGUCCGCGCGAGCGUUUUACCCUGCUGACGCUCAGACUGUGGGAGACAAAGCGUCUGAAUAAAUUAAAUACUGAA